AUACGGAGGGUGCAAGCGUUACUCGGAAUCACUGGGCGUAAAGCGCGCGCAGGCGGCUAUUUAAGUUGGAUGUGAAAGCCUACGGCUCAACCGUAGAACUGCAUCCAAAACUAUUUAGCUAGAGUGUGGGAGAGGAAGAUGGAAUUAGUUGUGUAGGGGUAAAAUCCGUAGAGAUAACUAGGAAUACCAAAAGCGAAGGCAAUCUUCUGGAACACUACUGACGCUGAGGCGCGAAAGCGUGGGGAACAAACAGGAUUAGAAACCCUAGUAGUCC
rnacentral:rRNA from 1 species